UAUCAGACAUAAAAACGAUAAUCGAGUUUUCCAGCAUGUUAGUCUGCCUCAACGCCUGGACAACUCUACCGACAGAUUCAUCCAUGGCGGUAACCACGCCUGAAAACAAGGAAACAUACAUUGCAAUAAGAUGCUGCGAGAAUAUAACAAGCAGUAGUUGAUGCACUGAAAACAAGGCGACAAAUAUAAGAGUCACGGUCCAAGCUCGAGUGCAAGUUGAAGGUGUCAGGUCUAAAUGCAAAAGUACGAGGAAUGACAAGCUUGUCGAUUGGAAAAGUAGACCAAGACUGUAACCCGAAAACAAGGUCGUACGUUUACAUAAACCUCUCUUUUUAUUUUAGUACGCUGAAUCAGCCCUUGCUGUGCUUCACACGUGUUCUCAUUCGUCCUAUGUAUUUUCAGAUUGGGCUUAAAUUUUAUCAGCACAGGGUGUACCGUAACACCCCACGUUGGAUCCACUUCAGCAGAAGACAGAAAGGACAAAAACAACGAGAAAGUCUUACCAAAUCGUCAGCCAUAAACACAAUAAUAUGAGGCGACGUUUCAUACAGGCCGAAUGCACAAUCGAUGAACAAUAUUAGGGACAGCAAAGACGUACUUAUCCAAAUGAUGGAAAACCGACGCAUUCUUCGCAGAGUUGAACGAAAGAAACAAAGUAAACAAAGAAGCAACAAAGUAAAAAUAUAAUAAAAAUUUAACGAAAAAUUGAAAAAUGCUUAACACAGAGCACUUUUUCUUUUUGGCACUUUAAAACACGGUUCACCAAGGAUGAUGGUCAGAACAUUGUGCCCGCGAUGUUUACGAAGGAACUUCUAGGAAUGACGAAAGAAUGAGGAACAGAGAUAAACGUUUAUAUAGUCCACCCACGAAGAAGCAUGUCAUGAAUGGAUCACUCGAAAGGGGAGGGAAAGUACACUAAUAAUUACGACAAUAAAGAAGGUACGUGUUUCAGCUGGGUUGCUUCUCGUCUUACGCGUUAUUUUCCGUACUUAUGUAAUUGUCUAUCUGCGUACGAGAUAUUCUGUACGUGUCGACUAAUUUUUAAGUGCUAUUUAAGUUAUAAUAGAAUAUAUUAUAAUAACUGGAUAUAUAUUAACUGUUAGAAAAAAUCAAGGAAACGACAUACUGAUCUUGAUGUCUGAUCAAAGUUUUAUGAAAUUCAAACAGGUUCACAAAAGAAAUACUGAUUCAAAGUAAGCUCCCUUAUUGUCUCGGUGGUAACUAAGGAACGAUAACAAAGAAAUUAUCAAAAUAUUUUCUUAAAUAUCUUGAUAAUUAAUAAUUUGUUUACUAUUGUACCCCAUUACUCCUUUGCGUAGAAUGACGAGGGGAAUCUUUCUAUAUAAAAAUAAGUAUACAUUUUCAUUCAAAAAUAUAAUGCAAUUGUUGAUUGUACACACACCUUUGCACUUUUAAACAAAACACGAUCCUGCGGAUGCACUCUCUUAACCAUUCGUCUUUCUCCUUUGACAUUUUUCUGUGACUGCACUGGUUACGAAGUUAUAACCUAACACAAUUGCAUGGACCACCCUAUACACAUUUCCAGACUGCUUUCAAAUUUUACCAAUAUGAUCAUGAUAGUCGCGUCUCAUUACACUGAUAAAAUUUCAAAAUGCUUUGUAUAUCAUAAUAUAUGUAUAUACAUAAAAGUUUUCCACAUAUCUUAAAGUGAAUGAAUUUCAAAAUAUUGAAAUAAACGAAAAAAACAAAUUACAGCUAGAUGCUUGGGAGAUGUAUUUACAAUUUCAAAACUCACAAAACUCACAAAAUGUAUUUAAAAGUUUAAAAGAAGGAGUCGGAAGAAGAUAAAGUUCUUAAGAUCUUUAUUAAAGGAAUGAAACAAGCGAGGACAAUAAUUCUAAAAGAAAAUCAAACUUCCGUUCCUUUAUUUCUAAUUCUAUAAUACUUUAAAAUUUAUUUAAAAAAAUACUCAGUUUACAGUUUUCGUCUUCGCAACUUCCAAUAAAAACUCAUAAUCCUAUACUUCUGAAAUACACAUUGCAUCGUCAUUCUCAUCGAAAAACAUAGAAUUCUGGAAUAAUCUUUUUUACACGUGUAAUAGGUAAGUAUAUCUAUAUUAUAUAAUGUUCAGCUAAAUGUAUAACUAAAUAGAUAUUUUAUUCAAUAAUCUCCGACAAUCUUUAAAAAGAUAAAAAAUGUGCUUUAUAUUUUUGCUGCAUUGCCUUAUUUUAUUAUAUAAUUUAUUAUAUAUAAAAUAUAUUAUAUAAAUAUAAAAAUAUAUAUUAUAUAAAAUUACUAUUUCCCUCUCAUUGACAUACUUUAAUUGGAAGACGUCGCUCAUUUGCCGCAACAACGACUGGAAAUUUCUAGUUUUUUUAGUUAUUGGCGCAAAAAAAACAGUUGAUCUUUAAGCUGUUAACCUCUCCGCAUUUACUGACAAGGUGUCUCGUAAACUGAUUUUUACCGAAUCUAUGAAUAAAAUGUCUCGCACUAAUGCGUGUUUUAGUGAAUAAAACACAUGUUAAUGCUGCAUAAAUUCAUAAUAAUGCAGCACUAAUAUCAAUAAACAUUGUAUCGUGAACUAUCUCGCCCAUAGAUAUAAAGGAUUAAUAAUAAAUUAAACGAAAGUAUUAAUAAAUGAUAAUAAAAUAAAACCUUUAUUAGGUGAAUACAAAUAUAUCCCAAUAUUAGACUGAGGUAGACAUAAAAUUGCAUAAUUAUUAUCUGCCUGUAAUUAAAUAUUUUAGCACAACUUUUCCUUUUAAAUUUGUAUUUCUUUAAAACACUCAUAUUUUUCUAUACUCUUGUUGGUUAAAGAUGGAGAUAUCCGUCAUUUCUAAUAUCCAAUUAAUAUCUUUAUUCAAUAUAUUUUCAACCCAUUAAAUACUAAUUCUAUAUUAAAUUAUUAAAUCAUAGUGAUAUAAUAUUUUAUUGUACAACAAGAGAAUUUAAUAAUCAUAUAACAGUUUAUAAACGCAAUAAGGUUUAUUCAUAGAAUCGUUGAAAAAUUACGCAUAUUUUGUAUAUAAAUAAUAAAGUUGUGAACCCUUACAACAAACCAUUUUUUAUUAACCUUUGAAAUACCAUCAAUAUAGAAAUUAAUGUUAUUUUUUAAACCUUUAAAACCUUUUUUAGACCUCUGAGAUCUUUUUUAAACUUCUUAAACCUUUUUUAUACCUUUUAAACCAUUUUUGAAACUAUAAUGAAGAUAUUUCUAUUACAUUUUACUGAUCAUGUUCUAUUAUUUUAUUGCAUUAUUCUAAAUAUUAUAUUCAAUACAUGAUAAAAACCAUUUUUUCUUUGACUUUUUAAUAAUGAAUAAAGUGGAAGAUACAUUAACAUAAAGAUGUAGAAAAUUGUUUUAAAUUUAU